AGAGUUUGAUCAUGGCUCAGGACGAACGCUGGCGGCGUGCUUAACACAUGCAAGUCGAACGAUGAACCACUUCGGUGGGGAUUAGUGGCGAACGGGUGAGUAACACGUGGGCAAUCUGCCCUGCACUCUGGGACAAGCCCUGGAAACGGGGUCUAAUACCGGAUACUGACCCGCUUGGGCAUCCAAGCGGUUCGAAAGCUCCGGCGGUGCAGGAUGAGCCCGCGGCCUAUCAGCUUGUUGGUGAGGUAAUGGCUCACCAAGGCGACGACGGGUAGCCGGCCUGAGAGGGCGACCGGCCACACUGGGACUGAGACACGGCCCAGACUCCUACGGGAGGCAGCAGUGGGGAAUAUUGCACAAUGGGCGAAAGCCUGAUGCAGCGACGCCGCGUGAGGGAUGACGGCCUUCGGGUUGUAAACCUCUUUCAGCAGGGACGAAGCUAACGUGACGGUACCUGCAGAAGAAGCGCCGGCUAACUACGUGCCAGCAGCCGCGGUAAUACGUAGGGCGCGAGCGUUGUCCGGAAUUAUUGGGCGUAAAGAGCUCGUAGGCGGCUUGUCACGUCGGUUGUGAAAGCCCGGGGCUUAACCCCGGGUCUGCAGUCGAUACGGGCAGGCUAGAGUUCGGUAGGGGAGAUCGGAAUUCCUGGUGUAGCGGUGAAAUGC
rnacentral:rRNA from 1 species